rnacentral:rRNA from 1 species
CACGUAGGCACCAAGCGUUGUCCGGAUUUAUUGGGCGUAAAGAGCUCGUAGGCGGUUGAGUAAGUCGGGUGUGAAAACUCUGGGCUUAACCCAGAGCCGCCACCCGAUACUGCUCUGACUUGAGUUCGGUAGGGGAGCAGGGAAUUCCUAGUGUAGCGGUGAAAUGCGCAGAUAUUAGGAGGAACACCGGUGGCGAAGGCGGCAUCCUGGACCGACACUGACGCUGAGGAGCGAAAGCCAGGGGAGCAAACGGG